rnacentral:rRNA from 1 species
UGGGGAAUAUUGGACAAUGGGCGCAAGCCUGAUCCAGCCAUGCCGCGUGAGUGAUGAAGGCCCUAGGGUUGUAAAGCUCUUUCACCGGUGAGGAUAAUGACGGUAACCGGAGAAGAAGCCCCGGCUAACUUCGUGCCAGCAGCCGCGGUAAUACGAAGGGGGCUAGCGUUGUUCGGAUUUACUGGGCGUAAAGCGCACGUAGGCGGACUUUUAAGUCAGGGGUGAAAUCCCGGGGCUCAACCCCGGAACUGCCUUUGAUACUGGAAGUCUUGAGUAUGGUAGAGGUGAGUGGAAUUCCGAGUGUAGAGGUGAAAUUCGUAGAUAUUCGGAGGAACACCAGUGGCGAAGGCGGCUCACUGGACCAUUACUGACGCUGAGGUGCGAAAGCGUGGGGAGCAAACAGG